UCAGACUUGAGUCCUACCGUUCACAGAACAGAACUCGUGAACUACACGGCGAUACUUUCAGCAGUGGUGAGAGAGCCGGGGAUCCCAAACGGCGGAGCAGGUCACCUUCAUCGGAUGUUCGGGCAGCUGCGUGUUGAAAAAUGAGAUCAGCUGCUUGCUCACCGGGACGCGGGCAGCAGCCUGGAAACACCCAGGGCCAAGAGCAGCGACCGGCAUGGGGCGGCCUAGGUGCAGUCUGCCGUCCCGGGGCCAGGCGGGUCACCUUGACGACCGGGCCCGGCGAACAGAACCGCGCCCCCCGCAGGGCGAACAGGGAGGUUUGACAGGUAAUGAGGCAUCGCAGCGAGACUGGAGCGGCGCUCGGAUGAACCUCAUGUGAACAGAAAUGUGUUUCUGUUGGAGGGACAGCAGCUUGAAGAGAAACCUGGGAGGAAUUUUAUCCCAGCAAGAAGCCUAGAAAACGACCAGUUUGGACGCGGUUGAGGUCCUAAAGCAACAGCUGAUGGGCUCCAGCCUCAGUGGCGUUCGUUCGUUCGUUAC